CUCGAGUUCGCAUGGGCGGAUAAUGCAACGUUCGUUACAAUGAACACACCCCAUCUUAGGUAUUAGAUAACAUGGAAAACUGUAGGCCACCUGAAAAUAAGUUUAAACAAGGUAAUAUGAAAUGAACCUAUAGUUUAUGGAGAAAGAAUGCAUUUAUAUUUGGCCAAGUUCACGACUCCUAACGUCUACUAAAAUUUCCUGCAAACAGAAGUCUAAUGAGGGUCUUGUCGACCAACUUGUCGAUACAGUCAAACGGAUAACGACGUGUUACAGUAUCAGCUGGUUGACAGUAUCUUUUUUCUGUACUUAAACACUUGGAAAAUAACUCGGUUAACUAGUAAAACAUGCAAAUAUGUAACAGGAAUAACUUUCACUGUUUGAAGAAAUUACCUGACACGGUUAGGCCUGCCUCAUUCUCGCUGUCCCUGUUCCUGAACACUACAGUAACCGGGCAUCUGAGAGGUCCUCGAUCCUGUCGCCAAGGUAACUACUGACGUUGCUGAAACAUGUGCUGCUCUCAUUACUAACAGGUGUGUAUCACAAUGUUGUGCUCGACCUCUCCAGAAUAUUUAGCAAUGUUUCCGUGGAUUUUCGCCAGUGUAUCGUUCUACAAACACAUUAAGAUAAAGAUGAUGAUAAAGACUGAGGAUCCGCCCCUUCGAGAGCAUGUCAUCAAGGUCACUUGACCAGAGGAGGAAGUGAUCCGUCCACUGCCAUCAUCACCCUGGUUUGCAAGUCAUCAGAAUGAGUUGUGCCCAGAGGGUGUCAUCCCAGUGGAACAGAGGAAUACACUUCAGUGAUGAGACACAGUCAUGCCAUGGCUGGCAUCUUCACAGUCACAUGAUGAUGUUUACACAAUAACAAUGGGCUUCUUGUGUUUUCUGAGGUGAACAUAUGGAUAUGGAUCAAAUGGUUUUAACAAAAUCUAAUUGGGUACAACACAAAGAUUGUCUGUCUUGCAAGUGUCCCCCCUUUUUAACAUGAAUGUCCAGUCAUUCAUUAAAGAUGAUAAUAAUGGGUGAAAUAUAUUUGUUCCUGAAUUUAAAUAAUGUACAAAAGCAGAAAUGGGAUUGAUGGUACCUCCACAGCCUUUACCUCUGUUACCAAAAAUAAACAAAAUGUUUUUUUCUUGCUGAUUUAACACACAUUGAGCCAUUCAGUUUCUUGUACCUGUAAUGGUUAACAGUUACAAAUGUUUUCAAUAUUCAGACUGGUCUCAAGAAUGUGAUCAUUCUGAUUAUUUCAGGGUUCUUUUAUCCAGGCCAGGUCCACACAGGAUGAACACAUCUUUUACUGUACUUUCGUUAUUGUACUGUACUUGAUCACUGAACGAUGUUCAAUCUUGUAAAAGAUACUUGUGGUAAGCCUCAUUCUUAUUGUAUAAAAUAAUAAAAGGGUGAAAUCUUAAUGCAGUAUAGAGUUUUUGUAUUUGGUAUUUGUUAAUGCUUUCAUGCAACAAUAACACAUAACAGUUGAAAUAUACUGUACCUAACAAGCAAAAGUUGAUGUUAUUUUAAUUAAUUAUAACUCAUAUGACCCCCCAUAUAAUGUAAG
ensembl:lncRNA